rnacentral:rRNA from 1 species
UACGAAGGGGGCUAGCGUUGUUCGGAAUUACUGGGCGUAAAGCGCACGUAGGCGGAUCGUUAAGUUAGAGGUGAAAUCCCAGGGCUCAACUCUGGAACUGCCUUUAAUACUGGCGAUCUUGAGUCCGAGAGAGGUGAGUGGAACUCCUAGUGUAGAGGUGGAAUUCGUAGAUAUUAGGAAGAACACCAGUGGCGAAGGCGGCUCACUGGCUCGGUACUGACGCUGAGGUGCGAAAGCGUGGGGAGCAAACAGG